UUGGUUAAGCUACUAAGAGCACACGGAGGAUGCCUAGGCGCUAGGAGCCGAUGAAGGACGUGGCGAACAACGAUACUGCCUCGGGGAGCUGUAAGCAAGCUUCGAUCCGGGGAUGUCCGAAUGGGGAAACCCAGCUGAUGUAAUAGUCAGUUACCCGUAUCUGAAUACAUAGGAUGCGCGGAGGCAUACCCAGGGAACUGAAACAUCUAAGUACCUGGAGGAAGAGAAAACAAGAGUGAUUCCGUUAGUAGCGGCGAGCGAAUGCGGAACAGCCUAAACCAGAGAGCUUGCUCUCUGGGGUUGUGGGACGUCUCACAUGGAGUUACAAAGGAAUAUAUUAGGCGAAGAGGUCUGGAAAGGCCCGCUAUAAGAGGUAAAAGCCCUGUAGCCGAAAGUAUAUUCCCUCCGAGACGGAUCCCGAGUAGUGCGGGGCACGUGAAACCCCGUAUGAAUCUGCCAGGACCAUCUGGUAAGGCUAAAUACUCCCUAGCGACCGAUAGUGAAGCAGUACCGUGAGGGAAAGGUGAAAAGCACCCCGGAAGGGGAGUGAAAUAGAACCUGAAACCGUGUGCUUACAAGAAGUCAGAGCCCUAUUUAUGGGUGAUGGCGUGCCUUUUGUAGAAUGAACCGGCGAGUUACGUUCCCAUGCAAGGUUAAGGCGAGAAGCCGUAGCCGCAGCGAAAGCGAGUCUGAAUAGGGCGAUUUAGUAUGUGGACGUAGACCCGAAACCGUGUGAUCUACCCCUGUCCAGGAUGAAGGUGCGGUAACACGCACUGGAGGUCCGAACCCACGUAUGUUGAAAAAUGCGGGGAUGAGGUGGGGGUAGCGGAGAAAUUCCAAUCGAACUCGGAGAUAGCUGGUUCUCCCCGAAAUAGCUUUAGGGCUAGCCUCGGAAUGAAGAGUCGUGGAGGUAGAGCACUGAUUGGGUGCGGGGCCCGCAAGGGUUACCAAGCUCAGUCAAACUCCGAAUGCCAUAGACUUAUAUCCGGGAGUCAGACAGUGAGUGCUAAGAUCCAUUGUCAAGAGGGAAACAGCCCAGACCAUCAGCUAAGGUCCCCAAGUGUGUGUUAAGUGGGAAAGGAUGUGGAGUUGCACAGACAACCAGGAUGUUGGCUUAGAAGCAGCCACCAUUUAAAGAGUGCGUAAUAGCUCACUGGUCGAGUGACUCUGCGCCGAAAAUGUAACGGGGCUAAACACACCACCGAAGCUAUGGCUUGAUGCGUAUGCAUCAGGGGUAGGGGAGCGUUGUAUGUGGGUUGAAGGUGUACCGUAAGGAGCGCUGGACAGCAUACAAGUGAGAAUGCCGGUAUGAGUAACGAAAAGAUCAGUGAGAAUCUGAUCCGCCGAAAGCCCAAGGUUUCCUGAGGAAGGCUCGUCCGCUCAGGGUAAGUCGGGACCUAAGGUGAGGCCGAAAGGCGUAAUCGAAGGACAACAGGUUGAAAUUCCUGUACCACCGUAAACCGUUAUGAACGAUGGGGUGACGCAGGAGGGUAGUGACGCGGACUGAUGGAUGUCCGUCCAAGCAGUGAGGCUGAUGUGUAGGCAAAUCCGCACAUCAUGAAGGCUGGGCUGUGAUGGGGAGUGAAAAUUACAGUAGCGAAGGUCAUGAUCUCACACUGCCAAGAAAAGCCUCUAGUCAGGUGAAGGUGCCCGUACCGCAAACCGACACAGGUAGGCGAGAAGAGAAUUCUAAGGCGCGCGGAAGAACUCUCGUUAAGGAACUCGGCAAAAUGACCCCGUAACUUUGGGAGAAGGGGUGCCCCGGUAGUGUGAAUAGCACGAGGGGGCCGCAGUGAAAAGGCCCAAUCGACUGUUUAGCAAAAACACAGGUCUGUGCGAAGCCGUAAGGCGAAGUAUACGGGCUGACGCCUGCCCGGUGCUGGAAGGUUAAGGGGAGUGGUUAGGGGUUAAACCCGAAGCUAUGAACCGAAGCCCCAGUAAACGGCGGCCGUAACUAUAACGGUCCUAAGGUAGCGAAAUUCCUUGUCAGGUAAAUUCUGACCCGCACGAAUGGCGUAACGAAUUGGGCGCUGUCUCAACGAGAGAUCCGGUGAAAUUUUAAUACCUGUGAAGAUGCAGGUUACCCGCGACAAGACGGAAAGACCCCAUGGAGCUUUACUGCAGCUUGAUAUUGGAUUUGGGUACGAUCUGUACAGGAUAGGUGGGAGCCUUAGAAGCAUGAGCGCCAGCUUGUGUGGAGGCGACGUUGGGAUACCACCCUGAUCGUAUCUAGGUUCUAACCUAGUACCGUGAUCCGGUACGGGGACAGUGUCAGGCGGGCAGUUUGACUGGGGCGGUCGCCUCCUAAAGAGUAACGGAGGCGCCCCAAGGUUCCCUCAGAAUGGUUGGAAAUCAUUCGAAGAGUGCAAAGGCAUAAGGGAGCUUGACUGCGAGACCUACAAGUCGAGCAGGGACGAAAGUCGGGCUUAGUGAUCCGGUGGUACCGCAUGGAAGGGCCAUCGCUCAACGGAUAAAAGCUACCCUGGGGAUAACAGGCUUAUCUCCCCCAAGAGUCCACAUCGACGGGGAGGUUUGGCACCUCGAUGUCGGCUCAUCGCAUCCUGGGGCUGAAGUAGGUCCCAAGGGUUGGGCUGUUCGCCCAUUAAAGCGGUACGCGAGCUGGGUUCAGAACGUCGUGAGACAGUUCGGUCCCUAUCUGUCGUGGGCGUAGGAAAUUUGAGAGGAGCUGUCCUUAGUACGAGAGGACCGGGAUGGACGUACCGCUGGUGCACCAGUUGUUCCGCCAGGAGCAUGGCUGGGUAGCUACGUACGGAAGGGAUAAGCGCUGAAAGCAUCUAAGCGUGAAGCCCACCUCAAGAUGAGAUUUCCCAACUAGUAAGACCCCUUGAAGACGACGAGGUAGAUAGGUUGGAGGUGGAAGUGCAGCAAUGCAUGGAGCUGACCAAUACUAAUCGGUCGAGGGCUUAUCCUAA
rnacentral:rRNA from 1 species